GUGUCAGCCGCCGCGGUAAUACGAAGGAUGCAAGCGUUAUCCGGAUUCACUGGGUUUAAAGGGUGUGCAGGUGGGAUAAUAAGUCAGUGGUGAAAGCCCCCGACUCAAUCGGGGAACUGCCAUCGAUACUGUUAUUCUUGAGUGUAGUUGAGGCGGAUGGAAUAUGACAUGUAGCGGUGAAAUGCUUAGAUAUGUCAUAGAACACCGAUCGCGAAGGCAGUCCGCCAAACUAUUACUGACACUGAAACACGAAAGUGCGGGGAUCAAACAGGAUUAGAUACCCUGGUAGUCCGCACCGUAAACGAUGAUCACUCGUUGUUGGCGAUACACUGUCAGCGACUAAGCGAAAGCAUUAAGUGAUCCACCUGGGAAGUACGACCGCAAGGUUGAA
rnacentral:rRNA from 1 species